rnacentral:lncRNA from 1 species
CUUUCUCUCUUUUCUCUUCUUUUUUUUUUGCAGGAUCGACCUCGAUUCCUCUUCCGUUCACAAUAAGCUUCGGCAACUUACCGGACAACAGUCCACAAGUGCACUGAUUCGGACUCAACCUCAGUCUGAGUUGUCUUAACCUGGUCAAACGACUUGCCCCAGAUUCACCAGAUGCCCUACUUCUGCUUGGAACUUUGCCAUCAUGUCCUCAACAUGGCAUUUG